ensembl:lncRNA
AUUCGUUUAGGUGGAGGGUUAAGUUGUCAAUUUGGGAUCUUUCUUCUUUUUUGAGAAAGGCCUGUAUUGCUAUAAAUUUCCCUCUGAGCACUGCUUUUGCGGCCUCCCAUAGAUUUUGAGAGGUUGUGUCUUCAUUAUCAUUUGUUUCAAGAAAAGAGUUACAUAAGCUUAAGAAGUGGACUUAAAGGAUGAUAAGGAGAAGGAGGAAAAGGAGAAUUUUGAUGUUGAUAUUGUUAUCUUUGGCCCCUGGUUGGAGUUGAGGCUAAGAACUCUUCUUUCUGAUAUGACAGAUCUGGUUUAAAGAACAGAUCUUGGGCAAAACACAUAGUUUUUCUGAGCCUUGGUUUCCACAAAUUUAAAUUGGUAAUGGGGAGUUCCUGUCAUGCCUCAGCAGUUAACAAACCUGACUAGUUGACUAGUAUCCAUGAAGCCUUGCUCAGUGGGUUACAGAUCUGGUGUUGCUGUGAGCUGUGGUGUAGGUUGCAGACACAGCUUGGAUCCUGCGUUGCUGUGGCUGUGGUGUAGGCCGGCAGCUGUAGCUCCUAUUGGACACUUAGCUUGGGAACCUCCAUGUGCCACAGGUGCGGCCCUAAAAAGACAAAAGACAAAAAAAUAAACAAAUAAAUUUUUUGUUCUUCUGAUGUUACUCAUGGAAACAAUAGCAUGUGGACCUUUCUGAGAGCUAAUGCAGAAAAGCAGAACCAUUCUCCAUGGACAUUCUUCAUGAUUCAACUGUGCCGGUGGAGUCAGUAAGAUCAGCAGACAGAACUUCCCUGGUGGUCAGGGCUUCAGAAGCUGUGUAGGAAAAUAUUUCAAAAGCUCCUUUUGGGGAAUAAUCUUGUCUUCAUCAUAGUUUCAAAUCCUGAGAAAGUCCAGAUCCAGAGAAAAGCUGUCUGAUGGGCCCAUUGAGAAAGAGACACUAACACACAUUCAAAGGGCCUAUUACUGUCUACAGUCUUCUUUCUCAUGUGUUAAAUUUUGCUCACAACCCUAAGAGGCAAGCAGAGUGUAUGCAGUCUUCAUUCCCCGGAGUAAGAAACAGAGGCUGUGAAAGUUCAAGUUCAAAAUACUUUCCUAAGUAAACUGCCAACCAAUCAGAUGCUGGCCUCAUGACACAGCACUGCCUCUCACUCCACUUCACCAAGUUCAAGAAGAGGACUCUCACUUAAGCAAAAUGUCCAGUCAAAAGCCAAAUAUAAGUCAUUAGUCAUUAAUAAUAUUUAGUCCGUUAUAAUUCCAAUAUAUCAAAAAAGACAUAAACCAUACAUUUACAUAUAUUCAAAUCUAUGAAGUUUGGGGAAAGUUUAAGAAGAAGGGACUCAAGAAGAAUGGGUGUCUGAUACUUUGGAACCGAGCUGAAGGGCUCAAGGUUGCAGGCAGCCCUACUUGGCCUUGGACCUCCUUUCUUAGCUCUCUCACUAUCCCUGCAGAGUGCUUUCAUAGCUUGUUGAUAUUUUGUAUUCCUGGUUGUGUAAGACUAUUUUACUGGUAAUCCAAUAUCCAUUCUCACCCCCCUUCUUUUCUUGAUGUCCUCAUCAGAAAUACUCACUUUCCCAACCUCCCUCAUAGGCUAGGGAUGGGCAGGCCAACAGUUCUGGCCAGUGACAUAUAAGCUGAGCUCAGUGGGAGGUAACGUAAGGGGAAAGUUUUGCUUUCCUAUUAAAAGUUACUGUGCUGCCUUUCCAUCAUUCUGCCUUGAAUUCAGAUGUGAUGGUCGGCCACCCCGUGACCAUGUAGAAAAGGCCAAGGGAAUCAGGAGAAAGGAUGUUAUUGUUAAAGUACUGAACAACGACUUUGGUCACUGCCCACUUCUAGACCUUCUGUUAUGAGAGGAAACCAAAUCCCUCUUGGUUUAAGUCACUGUAAGCUGGUUACUAUUACUUGAAGCCAAACACAUUACUAAAUGAUAUGGCUGGGUAUCUUAGGCCCUUUUGUGAUGAGAGUGGGGUCAGAAGGAGCAGAGAUCAGUUUUUUGUUUUUUGUUUUUUUUUAACCUCAUGUUGAUGUUGGAUUUUGGGAAGGGUACCCAUGGUUCUCAGCCACUUCUCUGGUGUUAAAAGCUAGAAGGAUGUAUUUUCAAGGAGUGGCUAGGAAACACCAAGAAUCUCUACCUUCUUACGAUCCACUUAGGGAAGUUCAUUUAUUAGAAACCAUAGUGCUCUCAUAAAUGUCUACAGAAUGAAAGACUGAAUUAAUGAGGUGAGAAAAUAACAUUUUAGUCAGCAGAUACAAUAAAAUGAUUGCUCUAACCAGCUAUGGGCAUCUUUUCUUCUUCCUUCCUUCCUCCCACCCUCCCUCCCUUCCUUCCUCCCUCCCUCCUUUCCUUCCAUUGUAAUUUAAAAACUCAGUGGAUCAAUGGAAAGAAGAAAGAGGCUAAAGUAAAGAGAGGAACAAAAAGAUAGAGAGGGAGAGAAGGGAAAGAAAAAGUGACAAGAGUAAGGAAAAGAAAGGCUCGUCUUCUCUCUCUGAGCUGCAUAUACCUGAGAAAAUCAUUCUCUGGGUUGUCACUGCCUUUUGGAGUUGAAUGAAGGUCCUGAGCUACUUAGAAAAAUUAGCUUAGCUACUUCCUGUGCUGUGAAAAAAUUACAUCUAUUUUUAAAAGUUUCAUUUCCCCAGGAAUUCUUAAGCUUAAUAACUCAAAUUGUAUAAAUAUAUUUAGAAGGUAGAGCUAUCUUUCAGUACUUUCCAUGCGAGUUUACAAUAUGGUAAUCCAAGUCAUCAGACUAUCUUGUCCUGGAUCUUUGAGAAUUAACUGGACCUUUUUUCUUUACAAAGUCUAAAAGUUAUACUUAAAGCCCAAAUUUGUCGUUAUUGGAGGUUUUUUUCCCCUCAAUCAAGUACAAAUGUUUUGUUGUUGUUUUUUAGCUUAGUGAAUAUCCUCCUUUUUCCUCUCCCCAGACAAUCUCACAAGUAGCAGUUAAACAAACAAACAAACAAACAAAUUCCUGAGCAACAGUUUUGUUUUUAAACAAGUCUAACAAAGGUAGUCUGGUCACAUGUCUAAAAACCAAAAUUUUAUGUGUACUUUGAUCUCUGACCAAUUUUCACUUCCAUGAAUUUAUCUUUAAACGUCAAUUGUGUGCAAUCUGUAAGCAUGGGAGUGUUCACGGCAUUGCUUCCAAUAAUGACAAAAGAAGGCCAUGUGGUAGGUUAGAUUCAUGCUUGGAAAUACGUAUUCUUCCCAGGUCCCUCUCUGCGAAGCCUGUGUAUAUUCUGCCCCCCAAAUUCAGGCUGGCCAAUGAUUUUUUUAGGCCAAUGAAAUAUUCACAACCAAGAUGCAACCCAAGGCUUGACAAGCAUUUUGUGCAAUAGGGCUUGCACUCAUGCACAUUUGCUGUCAUAUGAGAAAACACACAACACUGCUGGUAACAGUGUGAGAAAAUCUCAGGAAUGACAGACUCAUGGGUCAGAGCAUCACUAUCUAUCUCAUCAGGUACUAGUGCUACCCAGCCAGUCUGCAAACUCACAACCACAAAUAAGAAGCACUGCUUAUUUCUGCAGGGCACCGAGACUUUGUAGUUGUCUUUUUAUGAGUGUUAUUAUGACCAUAGGUGACUGAUACACAACCUAAAUGUCAAAAAAUAGAGAAUUUCAUAAAUUCUGAUAUAAAUAGCAAAGAAUUCAACAGUCAUCAUCAUUAAUGACAGUGAUCUAUGUACAUAUUGACAUGGAAAGCAUCUAAAAUAUAUUAAGGAAAAAGUAAGUUAUAAACAUUUUAUGUAUAGCACAAAUCCUUUCUUAUAUUUUAUAUAUAUAUAUAUUUCUGUUUAUAUGAACAGGAAAGAGCCUGAAAGAAACACACCAAAUGUUAGCAGUGUUUCCCUCUGAGCAGUAAGAAUAUAAAUAUUUUCACUUUCUUCUUUAUGAGCAUCUGUAUUUUUUGUACCAAUAAAAAAAUAAGCUUGUAGCAAUUUUCAGUCAGAAUGAAAACAAUAUAGUUAUUUCAUUUAGAAAAAAAUUAAAGCUUGAAUAGAAUUCUGGCUGUAAUUUGCUGGGUAUUCUUGGCCUUCCAUAGGAAAAAGGUAUUUAUUUCCCUAAAGAGUUAGAAGUAUGUCUUCUUAAAAAUCUGGCAGCUAAAGGCUAAAGUAUAAUUAAAUUAACAUACCCUAAACAGGCCUGCCUACUGUUUCUCAAAUUUAUCCAUCUCCUACCUCAACUGAUAAAAUGCCUUUGUUUCAGACUCUGAUUAGCAUAUUUGUGAAUUAGUCUUCAUAUCGUGUCCUAAAGGGAAGGUUAACCUUCUCUCCCACCUCAAACUCGGCUUGUCCUUGAUCUACUCAUAAAACCCCAAAUCCAGAAACGAUGAUUGGGAAAGUGCAGACUCUAAUAAAAAUACGUUCAUUAGUGUCAGGGGAAGAGAAAGUUUACCCAAUUAAAGAGACUAAGACUUGCUAUUAGAGACAGAAGCUGUGAACAUAACAGAUAACACUGACAAACAGAUGUGGAGAAUGAUAGUUCAGCCUCCUGGGAAUCUGUGCAAAAUUCGUCCAGCUAAUAACUUGCUCAGGUACAGGGAAGUCAUUGAAAACAUUUGACCAAAAAACAAACAAAUAAAAAAACAAAACAAAACAAAACAAAAAAAUCUGCCAGUGAUCAGCUAGCAUUUACAGAUCCCAGACAUGGCUUAUGGCUUAAAAAAAAAAAAAUGCCCUGCCUAAUUUUCCUGCAGGUGUUUCUGCUCCCUUGGCCUGCCAUGGUACUACUGGGGGCCCACUGCUCUCUGGUGUUAAGGAUUAUAGCUCUUUCAGUUACAAGACACGAAGCAGACCUGUGGUUUCAGGAAAUAUUAAAGACCUGUUCGCUUGCAGGAAAAUGACAGAAACUUUCAUCUCU